CAAAUUUCCUGACACAAAGUCAUUGUAUAAAUUAUCAUAAAUAAAAAAAAAAACGGUUUUCUAAUGUGACAUAUCGCGAUUUGCGUUUUUGGACACAGCGUUCAACUCGUAUAAACCCGAAUAUUUCAUGCCCUUCUCGUAAACUAUCUCUAUUCUCGGUACAUGAUGUUGACAUCAUAGAGCUGCAGAAUAUGUCGACUUAAUCAUUUUCGUUUGAAUACUCGAAGCAAUACAAAACCAGGAAGUUUUGAAUGAAACGAACAUAUCGAUGUUUACCGGUAACGGACAUGAACAAAAUCCGGAAAUCGUAAUUUUUCCAAAAUAAAAAAAAUCGGGGCGGGACGAUUUCAGAGGGGCAGGCGGGGAUGAAAAUCUAUCAAUUAA
rnacentral:lncRNA from 1 species